rnacentral:rRNA from 1 species
GACGAACGCUGGCGGCGUGCUUAACACAUGCAAGUCGAACGAUGAUGCUCCAGCUUGCUGGGGUGGAUUAGUGGCGAACGGGUGAGUAAUACGUGAGUAACCUGCCCUUGACUCUGGGAUAAGCCUGGGAAACUGGGUCUAAUACUAGAUACUACAUACCUUCGCAUGGGGGUGUGUGGAAAGGGUUUUACUGGUUUUGGAUGGGCUCACGGCCUAUCAGCUUGUUGGUGGGGUAAUGGCCUACCAAGGCGACGACGGGUAGCCGGCCUGAGAGGGUGACCGGCCACACUGGGACUGAGACACGGCCCAGACUCCUACGGGAGGCAGCAGUGGGGAAUAUUGCACAAUGGGCGAAAGCCUGAUGCAGCGACGCCGCGUGAGGGAUGACGGCCUUCGGGUUGUAAACCUCUUUCAGCACGGAAGAAGCGAAAGUGACGGUA